rnacentral:rRNA from 1 species
UACGUAGGGUGCAAGCGUUAAUCGGAAUUACUGGGCGUAAAGCGUGCGCAGGCGGUUUUGUAAGUUUGUCGUGAAAUCCCCGGGCUCAACCUGGGAAUGGCGAUGAAGACUGCAAGGCUAGAGUUUGGCAGAGGGGGGUAGAAUUCCACGUGUAGCAGUGAAAUGCGUAGAGAUGUGGAGGAACACCGAUGGCGAAGGCAGCCCCCUGGGUCAAAACUGACGCUCAUGCACGAAAGCGUGGGGAGCAAACAGG